rnacentral:rRNA from 1 species
GGUUAAGCGACUAAGCGUACACGGUGGAUGCCCUGGCAGUCAGAGGCGAUGAAGGACGUGCUAAUCUGCGAAAAGCGUCGGUAAGGUGAUAUGAACCGUUAUAACCGGCGAUGUCCGAAUGGGGAAACCCAGUGUGAUUCGUCACACUAUCGUUAACUGAAUACAUAGGUUAACGAGGCGAACCGGGGGAACUGAAACAUCUAAGUACCCCGAGGAAAAGAAAUCAACCGAGAUUCCCCCAGUAGCGGCGAGCGAACGGGGAGCAGCCCAGAGUCUGAAUCAGCUUGUGUGUUAGUGGAACGGUCUGGAAAGUCCGACGGUACAGGGUGAUAGUCCCGUACACCAAAAUGCACAGGUUGUGAACUCGAAGAGUAGGGCGGGACACGUGGUAUCCUGUCUGAAUAUGGGGGGACCAUCCUCCAAGGCUAAAUACUCCUGACUGACCGAUAGUGAACCAGUACCGUGAGGGAAAGGCGAAAAGAACCCCGGCGAGGGGAGUGAAAAAGAACCUGAAACCGUGUACGUACAAGCAGUGGGAGCACCUUCGGGUGUGACUGCGUACCUUUUGUAUAAUGGGUCAGCGACUUAUAUUCUGUAGCAAGGUUAACCGUAUAGGGGAGCCGCAGGGAAACCGAGUCUUAACUGGGCGUUAAGUUGCAGGGUAUAGACCCGAAACCCGGUGAUCUAGCCAUGGGCAGGUUGAAGGUUGGGUAACACUAACUGGAGGACCGAACCGACUAAUGUUGAAAAAUUAGCGGAUGACUUGUGGCUGGGGGUGAAAGGCCAAUCAAACCGGGAGAUAGCUGGUUCUCCCCGAAAGCUAUUUAGGUAGCGCCUCGUGAAUUCAUCUUCGGGGGUAGAGCACUGUUUCGGCUAGGGGGUCAUCCCGACUUACCAACCCGAUGCAAACUACGAAUACCGAAGAAUGUUAUCACGGGAGACACACGGCGGGUGCUAACGUCCGUCGUGAAGAGGGAAACAACCCAGACCGCCAGCUAAGGUCCCAAAGUCAUGGUUAAGUGGGAAACGAUGUGGGAAGGCACAGACAGCCAGGAUGUUGGCUUAGAAGCAGCCAUCAUUUAAAGAAAGCGUAAUAGCUCACUGGUCGAGUCGGCCUGCGCGGAAGAUGUAACGGGGCUAAACCAUGCACCGAAGCUGCGGCAGCGACACUAUGUGUUGUUGGGUAGGGGAGCGUUCUGUAAGCCUGCGAAGGUGACCUGUGAGGGUUGCUGGAGGUAUCAGAAGUGCGAAUGCUGACAUAAGUAACGAUAAAGCGGGUGAAAAGCCCGCUCGCCGGAAGACCAAGGGUUCCUGUCCAACGUUAAUCGGGGCAGGGUGAGUCGACCCCUAAGGCGAGGCCGAAAGGCGUAGUCGAUGGGAAACAGGUUAAUAUUCCUGUACUUGGUGUUACUGCGAAGGGGGGACGGAGAAGGCUAUGUUAGCCGGGCGACGGUUGUCCCGGUUUAAGCAUGUAGGCUGGUUGUCCAGGCAAAUCCGGAUAAUCAAGGCUGAGGUGUGAUGACGAGGCACUACGGUGCUGAAGUAACAAAUGCCCUGCUUCCAGGAAAAGCCUCUAAGCAUCAGGUAACAUCAAAUCGUACCCCAAACCGACACAGGUGGUCAGGUAGAGAAUACCAAGGCGCUUGAGAGAACUCGGGUGAAGGAACUAGGCAAAAUGGUGCCGUAACUUCGGGAGAAGGCACGCUGGUGUGUAGGUGAAGUCCCUGCGGAUGGAGCUGAGACCAGUCGAAGAUACCAGCUGGCUGCAACUGUUUAUUAAAAACACAGCACUGUGCAAACACGAAAGUGGACGUAUACGGUGUGACGCCUGCCCGGUGCCGGAAGGUUAAUUGAUGGGGUUAUCCGUAAGGAGAAGCUCUUGAUCGAAGCCCCGGUAAACGGCGGCCGUAACUAUAACGGUCCUAAGGUAGCGAAAUUCCUUGUCGGGUAAGUUCCGACCUGCACGAAUGGCGUAAUGAUGGCCAGGCUGUCUCCACCCGAGACUCAGUGAAAUUGAACUCGCUGUGAAGAUGCAGUGUACCCGCGGCAAGACGGAAAGACCCCGUGAACCUUUACUAUAGCUUGACACUGAACAUUGAGCCUUGAUGUGUAGGAUAGGUGGGAGGCUUUGAAGCGUGGACGCCAGUCUGCGUGGAGCCAACCUUGAAAUACCACCCUUUAAUGUUUGAUGUUCUAACGUUGGCCCCUUACCGGGGUUGCGGACAGUGUCUGGUGGGUAGUUUGACUGGGGCGGUCUCCUCCCAAAGCGUAACGGAGGAGCACGAAGGUUAGCUAAUCCUGGUCGGACAUCAGGAGGUUAGUGCAAUGGCAUAAGCUAGCUUGACUGCGAGCGUGACGGCGCGAGCAGGUGCGAAAGCAGGUCAUAGUGAUCCGGUGGUUCUGAAUGGAAGGGCCAUCGCUCAACGGAUAAAAGGUACUCCGGGGAUAACAGGCUGAUACCGCCCAAGAGUUCAUAUCGACGGCGGUGUUUGGCACCUCGAUGUCGGCUCAUCACAUCCUGGGGCUGAAGUAGGUCCCAAGGGUAUGGCUGUUCGCCAUUUAAAGUGGUACGCGAGCUGGGUUUAGAACGUCGUGAGACAGUUCGGUCCCUAUCUGCCGUGGGCGCUGGAGAAUUGAGGGGGGCUGCUCCUAGUACGAGAGGACCGGAGUGGACGCAUCACUGGUGUUCGGGUUGUCAUGCCAAUGGCACUGCCCGGUAGCUAAAUGCGGAAGAGAUAAGUGCUGAAAGCAUCUAAGCACGAAACUUGCCCCGAGAUGAGUUCUCCCUGAGACUUUAAGUCUCCUGAAGGAACGUUAAAGACGAUGACGUUGAUAGGCCGGGUGUGUAAGCGCAGCGAUGCGUUGAGCUAACCGGUACUAAUGAACCGUGAGGCUUAACCUU